GCUUUGAGAAGCUAAUUAAGCAUUGGUCUUGUAAACCAAAAACAAGGUAAAUCUCCAGAGCU
rnacentral:tRNA from 1 species